rnacentral:rRNA from 1 species
UACGAAGGGGGCUAGCGUUGCUCGGAAUUACUGGGCGUAAAGGGCGCGUAGGCGGACAGUUUAGUCAGAGGUGAAAGCCCAGGGCUCAACCUUGGAAUAGCCUUUGAUACUGGCUGUCUUGAGUUCGGGAGAGGUGAGUGGAAUGCCGAGUGUAGAGGUGAAAUUCGUAGAUAUCAAGUGGAACACCGGUGGCGAAGGCGGCCUUCUGGACGGUGACUGACGCUGAGACGCGAAAGCGUGGGGAGCAAACAGG